CAAGAGAGUGGCGCACGGGUGAGUAACACGUAGCUUAUCUGCCCUCAAGAUUGGGAUAACGAUAGGAAACUAUCGCUAAUACCGAAUAAGCUUACGAGCUAUAGAGGCUCAUAAGAAAAGAUUUAUCGCUUGAGGAUGAGGCUGCGAGCCAUCAGCUAGUUGGUGAGGUAAAGGCUCACCAAGGCGACGACGGCUAGGGGACCUGAGAGGGUGACCCCCCACACUGGGACUGAGACACGGCCCAGACUCCUACGGGAGGCAGCAGUGAGGAAUAUUGCUCAAUGGGCGCAAGCCUGAAGCAGCGACGCCGCGUGGAUGAAGAAGGUUUUCGGACUGUAAAAUCCUUUUCUGUGUGACGAGAGUGGACGGUAGCACAGGAAUAAGUCUCGGCUAACUACGUGCCAGCAGCCGCGGUAAAACGUAGGAGGCAAGCGUUAUCCGGAGUUACUGGGCGUAAAGCGCGUGUAGGUGGAUUGGUAAGUUACUUACGAAAGCUCCUGGCUAAACUAGGAGAGGUUGAGUGAUACUGCCAGUCUUGAAUAGAGGAGAGGUUGACGGAAUUCCGCGUGUAGUGGUGAAAUGCGUAGAGAUGCGGAAGAACACCAGUGGCGAAGGCGGUCAACUGGCCUCAUAUUGACACUCAGACGCGAAGGCAUGGGUAGCGAACGGGAUUAGAAACCCCGGUAGUCCAUGCAAUAAACGAUGUACACUGAAUGUUCGUUGUCCUACGGGGCAAUGAGUGUUGAAGCAAACGCGUUAAGUGUACCGCCUGGGGAGUACGGUCGCAAGGCUAAAAC
rnacentral:rRNA from 1 species